rnacentral:rRNA from 1 species
AGGGUUUGAUUAUGGCUCAGGACGAACGCUGGCGGCGUGCUUAACACAUGCAAGUCGAACGAGAAGAGAUGAGAAGCUUGCUUCUUAUCAAUUCGAGUGGCAAACGGGUGAGUAACGCGUAAGCAACCUGCCCUUCAGAUGGGGACAACAGCUGGAAACGGCUGCUAAUACCGAAUACGUUCUUUCCGCCGCAUGACGGGAUGAAGAAAGGGAGGCCUUCGGGCUUUCGCUGGAGGAGGGGCUUGCGUCUGAUUAGCUAGUUGGAGGGGUAACGGCCCACCAAGGCGACGAUCAGUAGCCGGUCUGAGAGGAUGAACGGCCACAUUGGGACUGAGACACGGCCCAG